rfam:Bartonella apis strain PEB0149 NODE_1_len_1448678_cov_97_6187_ID_1.8, whole genome shotgun sequence.
GGAGGUUGGUGGUGGACGAGCCACUCGCCAACCGGGUCAGGUCCGGAAGGAAGCAGCCCUAACGAGCUUCGGCACGGGUCACAGUGCCAGCCUCCCAC